GAGGAGGAGGAGGAGAAGGGGCCGGGCGGGGCGGGCGCGUCCCUGUUGACGCCGCCUUACGGGCGGGCGUCAGAACUAGACUUGACUUGCCAGGAGCAGAUGGAAUGUCUUCGGUGGGCCCUUCUGAGAAACCCAGUUUCUUGCUUUAGCUAUGUUUAGAAUCUGGGACUGCCACCUCAAUUAGCCCACUUCCCUUACAAACCCGACCCACCCCGCACCUCUCCCUCCGCCCUGCAGCCUCCCUGCCACUCCGCUUCCACCUGAAUCGCAGUGGAUUUUUGUCCCAAAUCCACCAGAACAACCCCUGGGUGUACCCAGGUGAGAUUUCCAUGCCUACAUUACUCCACACAGAAAGAGAUCUCUCCUGGUUCCAGCCCUGAAUAAAGAGGACAGAGCCUCAUGACUCCAUCUGGGCCAAGAUGAAAGAAGGAGCAGAGUACACCAUCCCCUCUGUGCACUAAGUGUCCUGGUGUCAAGGCUUUUGUCCCAGUGGGAUCCAUUUAGAGGAGAUAUAAAUCACUGAAGAACUGAACGGAAGCAUGGACAUUUUGUUAUUUGGGGACUGAUGGAUUCUACUUGCAGAUUAUUUUCGGAGUGAUUCCAGGUGACCUAAAGAUCUGAGGGGGCAGAAGUGCCUACUCCUUGCUUUGAACUCACACCCUGAGAAGCUGCGGGAAGAAGUAGUAUGGAAAGAGUUGAACUUUCUGAUUCAUUGUUUGAUCAUGAUUAGGCCACAGAAGCCAUAUGAAUUAGGGUUCUCCAGAAAAACAGAACCAAUAGGAUAUAUGAUUCAUUAUAAGAAAUUGGCUCAUGCCAUUAUGGAGGCUGAGAAGUCCCAAGAUCUGCAGUGGGCAAGCUGGCAACCCAGGAGAGCCAAUGGUAGAGUUCCAGUCCCAGUCUGAAGCCAUGAUAACCAGCCAUAUAUACCUACAUUCAAAUCUGAUUUUCAUACUUAUUAGAUGUAUAGCCAUGGGCGGGUAUUUACUUUCUCUGACUUUCAAGCUGUACAUUAGCAAAAUAAGAAUGGUAGCGUGCAAGUCAAGUACAUAGAAGCAGAGAGUAGAAUGGUGGUUGCCAAUGGCUAGGGUUGGGGUAAAUGGGGAGGUGUUGGUCAAAGGGUUAAAUAAAAAAGAAUGCCCUACCUUGCAGAAAAGUAGUUAAAUGAAUGGGAAUAAUGUUAACAUAACCUUAUUUUGUGCAUGCCUUACAUGGCUCUAUUUCAGAGUAGUGGGAUGAUCAAUGAACACAGUCCAAUACAAAAAUAUUAACAUCAGAAUAGCUCAAGUUUUUUUCUUACAUUUUUCCAUACCUGGAAGGAAUAUAUAGUCCAUAGCAAACCCUGUUUGCAAUGCCCUGUCUUUUCCCAUACACUUCCCUUACACCUCACAACUACUCAGAACCUUUUGUUUCAAGCUUUCCAAGUAACUCCUCUCCCAGUCUUAGAACGCAAGAAUCUUGCCUUCCUUUGUUAUUUCAAAAUAUUAAAAGGGUACACAUGUUUUUA